rnacentral:rRNA from 1 species
GAUGAACGCUGGCGGCGUGCCUAAUACAUGCAAGUCGAGCGAACGGACGAGAAGCUUGCUUCUCUGAUGUUAGCGGCGGACGGGUGAGUAACACGUGGAUAACCUACCUAUAAGACUGGGAUAACUUCGGGAAACCGGAGCUAAUACCGGAUAAUAUUUUGAACAGCAUGGUUAAAAAGUGAAAGACGGUCUUGCUGUCACUUAUAGAUGGAUCCGCGCUGCAUUAGCUAGUUGGUAAGGUAACGGCUUACCAAGGCAACGAUGGAUAGCCGACCUGAGAGGGUGAUCGGCCACACUGGAACUGAGACACGGUCCAGACUCCUACGGGAGGCAGCAGUAGGGAAUCUUCCGCAACGGGCGAAAGCCUGACGGAGCAACGCCGCGUGAGUGAUGAAGGUCUUCGGAUCGUAAAACUCUGUUAUUAGGGAAGAACAUCUGUGUAAGUAACUGUGCACAUCUUGACGGUACCUAAGCAGAAAGCCACGGCUAACUACGUG